rnacentral:sRNA from 1 species
GCCGGGUGUGGGUGACGCACACCUGUCAUCCCAGCAGCUCGGGAGGCUGAGGCAGGAGGAUCGUGAGCUCAAAGCAGCCUCAGCCAAAGGGAGGCCCUAAGCAACUUAGGGAGACCCUGAUUCUC